rnacentral:rRNA from 1 species
UGAGUACGAGCUGCUACGGCAGCGAAGUGGGUGAUGUCAAGCUUCCAAGAAAAGCCCUAUACCCGUUAAGGCAUGACGGCCUGUACCCGAAACCGACACAGGUGGGGUGGUAGAGAAUACCGAGGGGCGCGAGAUAACUCUCUCUAAGGAACUCGGCAAAAUGGCCCCGUAACUUCGGGAGAAGGGGUGCCACCGCAAGGUGGUCGCAGUGAAGAGGCCCAGGCGACUGUUUACCAAAAACACAGGUCUCCGCUAAGUCGCAAGACGAUGUAUGGGGGCUGACGCCUGCCCAGUGCCGGAAGGUUAAGGAAGCUGGUCAGCGCAAGCGAAGCUAGCGACUGAAGCCCCGGUGAACGGCGGCCGUAACUAUAACGGUCCUAAGGUAGCGAAAUUCCUUGUCGGGUAAGUUCCGACCCGCACGAAAGGCGUAACGAUCUGGGCGCUGUCUCGGAGAGAGGCUCGGCGAGAUAGAAUUGUCUGUGCAGAUGCGGACUACGUGCACCCGGACAGAAAGACCCUAUGAAGCUUUACUGUAGCUUGGUAUUGUGCCCGGGCUCUGAAUGCGCAGGUUAGGUGGGAGGCUUUGAUCCUUUGCUUGUGGGUAAUGGUGAGCCACUGGUGAGAUACCACUCUUUCAGAGCUAGGGUUCUAACGGUCACCCGUUAUCCGGGGACCGGACAGUAUCAGGUGGGCAGUUCGACUGGGGCGGUCGCCUCCUAAAAGGUAACGGAGGCGCGCAAAGGUUCCCUCAGGCUGGUUGGAAAUCAGCCGACGAGUGUAAAGGCAGAAGGGAGCUUGACUGUGAGACCUACAAGUCGAACAGGGACGAAAGUCGGCCUUAGUGAUCCGACGGUUCUGAGUGGAAGGGCCGUCGCUCAACGGAUAAAAGUUACUCUAAGGAUAACAGGCUGAUCUCCCCCAAGAGUUCACAUCGACGGGGAGGUUUGGCACCUCGAUGUCGGCUCAUCGCAACCUGGGGCUGAAGUCGGUCCCAAGGGUUGGGCUGUUCGCCCAUUAAAGCGGUACGCGAGCUGGGUUCAGAACGUCGUGAGACAGUUCGGUCCAUAUCCGGUGCACGCGCAGGAACAUUGAGAGGAUUUCUCCCUAGUACGAGAGGACCGGGAGGAACGCACCUCUGGUGUACCAGUUAUCGUGCCAACGGUAAACGCUGGGUAGCCAUGUGCGGAGCAGAUAACCGCUGAAAGCAUCUAAGUGGGAAGCCCACCUCAAGAUGAGUGUUCCCAUGGCAUAAGCCAGUAAGGUCACGGGAAGAACACCCGUUGAUAGGCUCUACGUGGAAGCGUGGCAACACGUGAAGCGGAGGAGUACUAAUAGACCGAGGGCUUGACC